rnacentral:lncRNA from 1 species
GAGUACCCAGGGACACGAUACACUGCGGAAGGCUGCAGGGACCUCUGCCCAGGAAAGCCAGAUGAUGCAUAUCAUAAAUUAUUACUCACCCCAUGUUCCCACCCUCGAGAGACCUCCAAACAAUCACCAUGCCACAGUGAACAUUCAGUAACAAAAAUUCAGCCAGGGUUUUCACCAGCAUGAAUGGCAGUGAUUCCAAUCAGGAAAACAGAAAGAGGAGAGUUCAGAGCCACCUAGAAUGGCUCUUGCAAGAUACGAAAUCAAGGCAGCAGCAACAGGGCUGAACAUUCCUCAUCCCUAACUCUCCCUUCACCAGUAGGAAACCCAGGAUAACUGCAAUCACCGCAGGCCCAUCUGGCCUGAAGUUCUACUACUAGUAGCCCUCCAUGGGACCUUCUUAAGGAAGCAUGUCAACUCAGGUAAGGGAUGUAAGGGGAUGGAUGACCCUUUGAGGCCAAAGUUGGAGCAAAAAACACCAGAUGUUCCUGUGCACUGCUCCUAAGAGAUGGUUCUGAAGACCAGUUCGGGGAGAGGUCAAAAUACUGGACAGAAUCUCAGCAACAUGGAACCUCAAACUAAGUGACAGUCACAGACAACUCUUCCCCAAAGAAAAUAAGCACAGACAUGGUUUGUGGUAAGCAGAAUUAUAAAGAUGAAUUCCCAUCUCCCUGUCAGAUUACCAGUAUGGUAAAUUACCAGAUUACCUGGUUAUUUAUUCAAACACUAAUACAGUUAUUGCCUUGAUGGAAACAUACAGAUACAAUUAAAAUCCCAAGUACCAAAUAAAUUGACCUUAAGACAAAGACUAAGUAAAUCACAUGAGCCCUCUACAAGCAGAGAGUUUUUCUCCAGCUGGUAGCAGAAGCCAGAGAUUUGAAGCAUAGGAAGUAUUCAACACAUUAUUGCUGGCCUGAAAAUGGAAGGGGCCACAUAACGAGGGAAACCGGUGGCCUCUAGAAGCAGGGAGCAGUCCCCUGCUGACAGACAGCAAGCCAAGACCUCAGUUCUACAAUUGCAAGACACUCAAUUCUGCUAAGGACAAAAAUGAGCUUGGAAGUGAACUCUGAGCUUCAGGUGAGAACACGGCCAAACAACACCUUGAUUUCAGCUUAAACAAAGAAUGCAGCCACUCCAUGCCAGAAUUCUGACCUGUAGAAAUUUGAGCUAAUAAAUAGAUGUUUU